AAGCUUACUGAACGCAGCCCAGAAUGGAUCUUUUGCAAAUUUGAAGGGGUUGGGCAAAGGCUGAAAUUGGGGUUGAGAGUUAACCUUUAAGGCAGGCAUGUCAUACUCAUUCUACAGAGGGCUUUUCAAUUUAAACCUAGACACCCACGUGAGGGGAGUUCCUUACUAAUUACACCGGAUCUUCGCAGCUAGCUAGUUGCUACCAAGUGGCUAUUGUGGCUAACGCCCUUGUCCAGAAGCAUGCACCAGUUAGCCUCGAGCUAGGCCCAUUUCCCGGCUAGCAAACAAAGUACACCACCUACAAUACCUCUCUUGCCAAUUGGCCUGGACCCUUUGUCGACACGGAGCCGCGCCGAUCCAUCACGACUGGUCUGCUGGUGUAAUUCGACCGAUAUGCUCUCAACUGGCCUGUGCGUCGCAGAUGUUGGUGAUGAUCCUUCUGCUAGACCCGGAUUGCUAGCUUCCUGAAUGCCAUGUCUCCCGCUCGCCUAGCGUAGUAAUCUGCUUCCGAAAAGCUCCCUGUUUCAUCUAUUGCUGCUCAUUGGACCCUAUGAUCACUCGGCUACACAGCUGAUGCCUGCUGGACUGUUCAUUAACACGGACCUGAGCACUAGGACCAUGCCUCAGGACUACCUGGCAUGAUGACUCCUUGCUGUCCCCAGUCCACCUGGCUGUGCUGCUGCUCCAGUUUCAACUGUUCUGCCUUCGGCUAUGGAACCCUGACCUGUUCACCGGACGUGCUAUCUGUCCCAGACCUGCUGUUUUCAACUCUCUAGAGGCAGCAGGAGCGGUAGAGAUACUCUUAAUGAUCGGCUAUGAAAAGCCAACUGACAUUUACUCCUGAGGUGCUGACUUGUUCCACCCUCGACAACUUGUGUGAUUAUUAUUAUUUGACCAUGCUGGUCAUUUAUGAACAUUUGAACAUCUUGGCCAUGUUCUGUUAUAAUCUCCACCCGGCUCAGCCAGAAGAGGACUGGCCACCCCUCAUAGCCUGGUUCCUCUAUAGGUUUUGGCAUUUCUAGGGAGUUUUUCCUAGCCACCGUGCUUCUACACCUGCAUUGCUUGCUGUUUGGAGUUUUAGGCUGGGUUUCUGUACAGCACCUUGAGAUAUCAGCUGAUGUAAGAAGGGCUAUAUAAAUACAUUUGAUUUGAUAUUCACUCUAAAAGUCAAAGCCAGAGCCAUGACAUCAACAUAAACCAUGUUUUGAGGCGUUACAUUGUUUGUUUACAAUGACAUUGUAUACAAACAAUUAAGUAAAACAAGCUUAUAUUCUGGGUUCUGAUGGAGUACGACAGUUGAACUAAGCUCAUGAGGCACUUAUAACGUAUACUCUUACAGAAUCAGUGGGAAUGUAACGUUAAGGCAAAAUACCAAAAAGUGGACUUAGUGAUCGCAGUUGUCUGUUUUCAUAUCGUGGCCGAAAUAGCUCAGUUGGGAGAGCGUUAGACUGAAGAUCUGAAGUCCCUGGUUCGAUCCCGGGUUUUGGCAGUUAGUUUUUCCUGUGUAGCAUAGUCUCGCGGAACUGUCCUUUUAAUGCUUGCAAAACACCGGUAUGCUACCUGAUGGGUGUUUUGACUUUAUUUUGCACUACCUGCAUUGAUGCCAGCUACAUAGAAAGGCUGCCUCUCUCGUUCUGUUCUCAUUUUAUAUUUACAACACCCGGCCCGUACAUGGAUGGAACAAUGACGUUAUAAACACAGAGUUUCUAAACUCAGAGACGCAACAUCGCGAAUUUUACGGGAACGCUUGGAAGCAAACUAAAUAGACCAAUCCGGGGAUAUUAUUAUUAUUAUUAUUUUUUUUUUUAAUUUUAUUAACAGCAAAUCCAUACAGGAAGUACUUGUGGGAACACAAGUUAAUAAUCUCCACCCGGCACAGCCAGAAGAGGACUGGCCACCCCGCAUAGCCUGGUUCCUCCUAGGUUUCUUCCAAGGUUUUGGCCUUUCUAGGGAGUUUUUCCUAGCCGCCGUGCUUCUACACCUGCAUUGCUUGCUGUUUGGGGUUUUAGGCUGGGUUUCUGUACAGCACUUCGAGAUAUUAGCUCAGGGGUCGGGAACCUUUUUGACUAAGAGAGCCAUGAAAGCAAAUAUUUUGGAAAUUUAUUUCAGUGAGAGCCAUAUAAUAUAUUUUAAACGUGAAUUCAACUAAAUGUCAGUAUAAUAAGCCUCUGAAUUUGUCGAAGUGCCGCUUUACAUUCGACCGUUUCAUCAAUGUAAUUUUGUCAUUGCAAAUUAGACACACCGCAGAACCUGCUCUCUCCACAAAGGCGAAUUCUUCGGUCCAUUCGUCCUGAAAUGUACGAUACUCGUCAUCUUUUUUCUUUUUGCCAUCUUCUUCGUCGAAGGGUUAGCUUUGAGCUAAUGACCGAGCAGACUGAUUCAAAAGGAGGCGUUUACCUGUUUUACCUAGCAACGGCCGGCGUAGGCCAGUAUCAUUUAAUUAAAAUAAUGGACAAUUGCUCCUGCAGCCCUGAACAGGACAUGAGCAGUGAAAAAUCGAUGGUUGGAUUAAAACAAGUGAGAAUAGGCCUCCAGGGUGGCGCAGUGGUCUAGAGCACUGCAUCGCAGUGCUAGCUGCGCCACCAGAGUCUCUGGGUUCGCGCCCAGGCUCGGUCGCAGCCGGCCGCGACCGGGAGGUCCGUGGGGCGAUACACAAUUGGCUUAGCGUCGUCCGGGUUAGGGAGGGUUUGUUUGGUAGGGAUAUCCUUGUCUCAUCAUGCUCCAGCAACUCCUGUGGCGGGCCGGGUGCAGUGCGCGCUAACCGAGGGGGGCGGGUGCACGGUGUUUCCUCCGACACAUUGGUUGCGGCUGGCUUCCGGGUUGGAGGCGCGCUGUGCUAAGAAGCAGUGCGGUUUGGUUGGGUUGUGCUUCGGAGGACGCAUGGCUUUCGACCUUUGUCUCUCCUGAGCCCGUACGGGAGUUGUAGCGAUGCGACAAGAUAGUAAUUACUAGCGAUUGGAUACCACGAAAAUUGGGGAGAAAAGGGGAUAAAAAAAAUAAUAAUAAAAAAUCACACUUUUUUUUUUUUUUUUUUUUUUGAUCUGCGAGCCAGAUGCAAUCAUCAAAAGAGCCACACCUGGCUCGGGAGCCAUAGGUUCCCGACCCCUGUAUUAGCUGAUGUACGAAGGGCUAUAUAAAAUAAACUUGAAAUACAUAGUAUACAAAGGACAAUUGGGCUUGAGGUAUAAUAUCAUAAAGGGACAUACAUACACUUAGAAUUCUGACAGCUUUUUUGUUAAUAGAGUAUUUAAUUGUCUUAAAAUAUAGUUCCAUUUAUUUUUGUAAGGUAAUAAAAUGUGGUGUUUCGUUUUAAAAUUUUAAUUUGUGAAUAUGAGAUUUGGCCAAAAGAAUAAUGAAAUUAAUUACAUAAACGUGUUUCAGUUAAUUUCUAUUGUAGGUAAAGAAUCCAAGCAGUACAUCUCUCCACAAUAUUGUAAAAUCUUCAUAAAUGUGUUCAAUUAUAAAUCUUCUGAUGUCUUGCCACAGUUUCCUUACAUGAAUACAAUGCCCAAAAAUAUGCAACACUGUUUCUGGGUGGUCAUUACAAAAGGUACAAUUUGAGUUUAUGUUUUCCUUAAACUUCUUCAUUUAGUGAUUGGCAGGAUAAUAUUUAUGAACAAUUUUAAAGGAAACUUCCUUAAUUUUGUUAAGUAGGUAUGUGUGUGGCAAUAUCCAAACUUUUUUCCAACAGAUAUUAUCAAUAAAUCUGUUCCAAUAAGGCAUGACAUAAGGUGUAGAUACAACAUCCUGCUGAAACAAGGUUCGUAUCGCUCUGUUGUUGAAUGGACCAAAAGAUAAACAAAUCUUUCCUACUGAUGAGUCAACAGUGGUAAUGUUCCUGAAUAAUAAAGCAAUAACUGAGGGAAUGGCAUCUAAAACAAUUGCAAAAUCUUUAGGUGUUAGGACCUUGUAAAGUGAUAAGAAUUCCUUAUAACUAAGUUUAAAAAACUCUGCAUUUACAAGUUGGCUCACCAAUAGGAUAUUAUUUCAGAACCAAUAUUUAAAAAACAAAUAAGUAUUUUUAUACUAUAUAUCUUGAUUAUUCCAUAAAUAAUAUCUGUGUGGAGAAAAUGUAUGCUAAUAAAUUAAGGACCAUGACAAGAAAUCCUGCCGAUGAAAAGCAGAAAGUUUCACUGAAACUUUGUCAAUAUUAUAAUUGCAAACCAACAUGAAGUUAAGGCCACCAAAAGUAGAGAAGACAUGAUAAAUGUCUUCAUGAUAAAGACAGGAAUAAAAUUCCACAUAGAUGUGGGUCUUCUUAGGAAUUAUUUUAUCCAAAGGAUUGUCACGACUUCCGCCGGUCCCUCUCCUUGUUCGGGCGGUGUUCGGCGGUCGACGUCACUGACCUUCUAGCCAUCAUUGAUCCAUUUUUCGUUUUCCAUUGGUUUUGUCUUGUCUUCCUACACACCUGGUUCCAAUCCCAUCAAUUACAUAUGGUGUAUUUUACCUUCUGUUUCCCCUCAUAUCCUUGUCGGAGAUUGUUUUGUUUGUAUGUGAUGUGCAUUUUAGUAUUGGUGUGCGACGGGUUUUGUACCCACUUGUUAUUUUGUACAUUUUUGUUGUUUUGGAGUUUGUCAGUAUUUAUUAAACAACUCCGUUUAUACCAA